UACGUAGGGCGCAAGCGUUGUCCGGAAUUAUUGGGCGUAAAGAGCUCGUAGGUGGUUUGUCGCGUCUGUCGUGAAAGCCCGGGGCUUAACUCCGGGUCUGCGGUGGAUACGGGCAGACUAGAGGCAGGUAGGGGAGAACGGAAUUCCCGGUGUAGCGGUGAAAUGCGCAGAUAUCGGGAGGAACACCAGUGGCGAAGGCGGUUGCCUGGGGCUUUGCUGACGCUGAUGCGCGAAAGCGUGGGGAGCGAUCCGG
rnacentral:rRNA from 1 species